GGAUCAAUGUUUGAAAGCAAU
rnacentral:piRNA from 1 species